AUUGAACGCUGGCGGCAUGCCUUACACAUGCAAGUCGAACGGUAACAGGCCGCAAGGUGCUGACGAGUGGCGAACGGGUGAGUAAUGCAUCGGAACGUGCCCAGUCGUGGGGGAUAACGCAGCGAAAGCUGCGCUAAUACCGCAUACGAUCUGUGGAUGAAAGCGGGGGACCGAAAGGCCUCGCGCGAUUGGAGCGGCCGAUGUCAGAUUAGGUAGUUGGUGGGGUAAAGGCCCACCAAGCCAACGAUCUGUAGCUGGUCUGAGAGGACGACCAGCCACACUGGGACUGAGACACGGCCCAGACUCCUACGGGAGGCAGCAGUGGGGAAUUUUGGACAAUGGGCGCAAGCCUGAUCCAGCAAUGCCGCGUGCAGGAAGAAGGCCUUCGGGUUGUAAACUGCUUUUGUACGGAACGAAACGGUCCGGGUUAAUACCCUGGGCUAAUGACGGUACCGUAAGAAUAAGCACCGGCUAACUACGUGCCAGCCGCCGCAGUAACAC
rnacentral:rRNA from 1 species